rnacentral:rRNA from 1 species
UACGUAGGGGGCAAGCGUUGUCCGGAUUUAUUGGGCGUAAAGAGCGUGUAGGCGGCCAGACAAGUCUGCUGUGAAAACUCGAGGCUCAACCUCGAGCUGUCGGUGGAAACUGUCUGGCUAGAGUCCGGAAGAGGAGAGUGGGAUUCCUGGUGUAGCGGUGAAAUGCGCAGAUAUCAGGAAGAACACCUAUGGCGAAGGCAGCUCUCUGGGACGGUACUGACGCUGAGACGCGAAAGCGUGGGGAGCGAACAGG